rnacentral:rRNA from 1 species
GACGAACGCUGGCGGCGUGCUUAACACAUGCAAGUCGAACGGCAAGGCCCUGCUUUUGUGCGCUGCUCGAGUGCCGAACGGGUGCGUAACACGUGAGUAACCUGCCCUUCACUUUCGUAUAACUUCAGGAAACUGGGCUUACUCUCGGAUAGCAUCUCCCGCUGCAUGGUGGGCGUUGGAACUUCUCGGCGGUUGGGGAUGGACUUGCGGCUUACCAGCUUGUUGGUGGGGUAGUGGCUUACCAAGGCUUUGACGGGUAGCCGGCCUGAGAGGGUGACAGGCCACAUUGGGAAUGAGAUACGGCCCAGACUCCUACGGGAGGCAGCAGUGGGGAAUAUUGCACAAUGGGCGGAAGCCUGAUGCAGCAACGCCGCGUGCGGGAUGACGGCCUUCGGGUUGUAAACCGCUUUCGCCUGUGACGAAGCGUGAGUGACGGUAAUGGGUAAAGAAGCACCGGCUAACUACGUG